GACGAACGCUGGCGGCGUGCUUAACACAUGCAAGUCGAACGGAAAGGCCCUGCUUUUGUGGGGUGCUCGAGUGGCGAACGGGUGAGUAACACGUGAGUAACCUGCCCUUGACUUUGGGAUAACUUCAGGAAACUGGGGCUAAUACCGGAUAGGAGCUCCUGCUGCAUGGUGGGGGUUGGAAAGUUUCGGCGGUUGGGGAUGGACUCGCGGCUUAUCAGCUUGUUGGUGGGGUAGUGGCUUACCAAGGCUUUGACGGGUAGCCGCCCUGAGAGGGUGACCGGCCACAUUAGGACUGAGAUACUGCCCAGACUCCUACGGGAGGCAGCAGUGGUGAAUAUUGCACAAUGGGCGGAGGCCUGAUGCAGCAACGCCGCGUGCGGGAUGACGGCCUUCGGGUUGUAAACCGCUUUCGCCUGUGACGAAGCGUGAGUGACGGUAAUGGGUAAAGAAGCACCGGCUAACUACGUG
rnacentral:rRNA from 1 species